rnacentral:rRNA from 1 species
GACAGAGGGGGCAAGCGUUGUUCGGAAUUACUGGGCGUAAAGGGCGCGUAGGCGGCCUUCUAAGUCGAACGUGAAAUCCCCGGGCUCAACCCGGGAACUGCGUCCGAUACUGGAAGGCUUGAAUCCGGGAGAGGGAUGCGGAAUUCCAGGUGUAGCGGUGAAAUGCGUAGAUAUCUGGAGGAACACCGGUGGCGAAGGCGGCAUCCUGGACCGGCAUUGACGCUGAGGCGCGAAAGCCAGGGGAGCAAACGGG